rnacentral:rRNA from 1 species
AAGCAUAUCAAUAAGCGGAGGAAAAGAAACCAACAGGGAUUGCCCUAGUAACGGCGAGUGAAGCGGCAACAGCUCAAAUUUGAAAGCUAGCCUUCGGGUUCGCAUUGUAAUUUGUAGAGGAUGCUUUGGGUAAAACGCCAGUCUAAGUUCCUUGGAACAGGACGUCAUAGAGGGUGAGAAUCCCGUAUGUGACUGGAAAUGUUAACCUAUGUAAAGCUCCUUCGACGAGUCGAGUUGUUUGGGAAUGCAGCUCUAAAUGGGAGGUAAAUUUCUUCUAAAGCUAAAUAUUGGCGAGAGACCGAUAGCGCACAAGUAGAGUGAUCGAAAGAUGAAAAGCACUUUGGAAAGAGAGUUAAAAAGCACGUGAAAUUGUUGAAAGGGAAGCGCUUGCAAUCAGACUUGUUUAAACUGUUCGGCCGGUCUUCUGACCGGUUUACUCAGUUUGGACAGGCCAGCAUCAGUUUCGGCGGCCGGAUAAAGGCUCUGGGAAUGUGGCCUCCACUUCGGUGGAGGUGUUAUAGCCCAGUGUGUAAUACGGCCAGCCGGGACUGAGGUCCGCGCUCGGCUAGGAUG